rfam:Heligmosomoides polygyrus genome assembly, scaffold: HPBE_scaffold0006087
GCGCCGGUGGUGUAAAGGCGUAGAGCAUUCCCGCCCGGUCAGAGGGAGGUGCGGGUUCGAGUCCCGCUUGGCGCU